rnacentral:piRNA from 1 species
UGGGGCUUAGCGGGUGUUCUCCCCGUGUGC